rnacentral:rRNA from 1 species
GACGAACGCUGGCGGCGUGCUUAACACAUGCAAGUCGUACGGUAAGGCCCUUUCGGGGGUCCACGAGUGGCGAACGGGUGAGUAACACGUGAGUAACCUGCCCACAACUUUGGGAUAACGCUAGGAAACUGGUGCUAAUACUGGAUAUGUGCUCCUGCUGCAUGGUGGGGGUUGGAAAGCUCCGGCGGUUGUGGAUGGACUCGCGGCCUAUCAGCUUGUUGGUGGGGUAGUGGCCUACCAAGGCGGCGACGGGUAGCCGGCCUGAGAGGGUGACCGGCCACAUUGGGACUGAGAUACGGCCCAGACUCCUACGGGAGGCAGCAGUGGGGAAUAUUGCACAAUGGGCGCAAGCCUGAUGCAGCAACGCCGCGUGCGGGAUGACGGCCUUCGGGCUGUAAACCGCUUUCAGCAGGGACGAAGCUUUUUGUGACGGUACCUGCAGAAGAAGCACCGGCUAACUACGUG